rnacentral:rRNA from 1 species
GACGAACGCUGGCGGCGUGCUUAACACAUGCAAGUCGAACGGUGAAGCGCUUGCCUUUUUGGUGGGUGUGGAUGAGUGGCGAACGGGUGAGUAACACGUGAGUAACCUGCCCUCUUCUUCUGGAUAACCUCAUGAAAGUGGGGCUAAUACGGGGUAUUCCGGGUCUGUCGCAUGGCGGGUUUGGGAAAGAUUGCGCCUUUGGGUGUUUUCGGUGGGGGAUGGGCUCGCGGCCUAUCAGCUUGUUGGUGGGGUGAUGGCCUACCAAGGCGGUGACGGGUAGCCGGCCUGGGAGGGUGGACGGCCACACUGGGACUGAGACACGGCCCAGACUCCUGCGGGAGGCAGCAGUGGGGAAUAGUGCACAAUGGGCGCAAGCCUGAUGCAGCGACGCCGCGUGAGGGAUGGAGGCCUUCGGGUUGUGAACCUCUUUCGCCAGUGAAGCAGGCCUGCUCCUGUGUGGGUGGGUUGACGGUAGCUGGAUAAGAAGCGCCGGCUAACUACGUG